GGACGCUAGCGGCGGAUGGGUGAGUAACACGUGGGCAAUCUGCCCUAAAGACUGGGAUACCACUUGGAAACAGGUGCUAAUACCGGAUAACAACAUGAAUCGCAUGAUUCAAGUUUGAAAGGCGGCGCAAGCUGUCACUUUAGGAUGAGCCCGCGGCGCAUUAGCUAGUUGGUGGGGUAAAGGCCUACCAAGGCAAUGAUGCGUAGCCGAGUUGAGAGACUGAUCGGCCACAUUGGGACUGAGACACGGCCCAAACUCCUACGGGAGGCAGCAGUAGGGAAUCUUCCACAAUGGACGCAAGUCUGAUGGAGCAACGCCGCGUGAGUGAAGAAGGUCUUCGGAUCGUAAAGCUCUGUUGUUGGUGAAGAAGGAUAGAGGCAGUAACUGGUCUUUAUUUGACGGUAAUCAACCAGAAAGUCACGGCUAACUACGUGCCAGCAGCCGCGGUAAUACGUAGGUGGCAAGCGUUGUCCGGAUUUAUUGGGCGUAAAGCGAGCGCAGGCGGAAUGAUAAGUCUGAUGUGAAAGCCCACGGCUCAACCGUGGAACUGCAUCGGAAACUGUCAUUCUUGAGUGCAGAAAAGGAGAGUGGAACUCCAUGUGUAGCGGUGGAAUGCGUAAAUAUAUGGAAGAACACCAGUGGCGAAGGCGGCUCUCUGGUCUGCAACUGACGCUGAGGCUCGAAAGCAUGGGUAGCGAACAGGAUUAGAUACCCUGGUAGUCCAUGCCGUAAACGAUGACCGCUAG
rnacentral:rRNA from 1 species